rnacentral:rRNA from 1 species
UACGGAGGAGGCAAGCGUUAUCCGGAAUUAUUGGGCGUAAAGCGUCCGUAGGUGGCACUUCAAGUCUGUCGUCAAAGACCGGGGCUUAACCCUGGAAAGGCGGUGGAAACUGAAGCGCUAGAGUGCGGUAGGGGUAGAGGGAAUUCCCGGUGUAGCGGUGAAAUGCGUAGAGAUCGGGAAGAACAUCGGUGGCGAAAGCGCUCUACUGGACCGCAACUGACACUCAGGGACGAAAGCUUGGGGAGCAAAUGGG